rnacentral:rRNA from 1 species
CCCUUAGAUGUUCUGGGCAGCACGCGCGCUACAAUGGUCUUCGCAAACGGAUGCAUUCUCGAAGGAGAAUGCCAAUCUUGGAAUCUAUGCCUUGGUCGGGACAGUUGCUUGCAAUUUUUCGACUCGAACCAGGAAUUCCUUGUAAUCGUGAUUCAUCACAUCACGAUGAAUACGUCCCUGCCCUUUGUACACACCGCCCGUCGCUACUACCGAUUGAAUGGUUCAGUGAGAUAAUCGGACAGAAAACUUGGCAACUGGCAACAGUUGACGUGCAUUUUUGGAAGACGAUCAAACUUGGUCAUUUAGAGGAAGUAAAAGUCGUAACA